AAAAUUCCCCCAAACGUUUUUCAUUUUCCCUCUUUCUCUCCCAAAACCUUCGAUCUCUCUAUCUCCAUUCCAAAACCCACGAUGACCCAACCUUCUGCGAAAACCCACGUUGACGACGACGACGACCCACGUCGCAAAGACCCACGCCGCGACGACCCAUUCCGCGUCGACCCACGCCGCGACCUAUUCCACGACGACCCACGCCGACGACGACCCACGCCGCGACCUAUUUCGCGACGACCCACGCCGACGACGACCCACGCAGCAAACUCCUACCAACGACGAUUCGACCCAAAUCUGGUUCCACCCAAACGCUGUCGCCGUCCAACAGAGUAAAGAUCAGGAGUUUCUUAUUCUACAAAGUUUUAGCCACCGCUUGAUUUUGCUGACUCGAAUGUCGAUUUCACUAUUAAGAACAUCUAUUCCACUUUUAGGUGCCAAACCCUAACUCCUUUAAAGAAUUACCAUGCUUGUUUUGAAAGCCAAUGCUAUAUUCUCUAGUGUAAUUCAUCUUCUUAGUGCAAGGAGCAGUGAUUUCAUUCUGAAUUACUAUGUUUACCCUCUUUGGUUCUGGCAACAAUUAGUGCAUCCAAAGGUGAAAUCAACAUGUCGUUGCAUUCAACACUAAACUGCAAAGCACAACUAAGAGUUUGCAGAACAGAUUCUUUGAUCUCAAGCUUGUUGCCUUUGAUAUCUAUCAACCUCUCUUGAAUAUGGUCUCAAAACCUUCAGAAAAUGGUAAAAUUCUCCAUCUCAUAUAAAUGAAUGAUAAAAGAAGACUUUCUCCCUCUUUUUACCUUCGUUGAUGGAUCAAUUACUUAUGGCGAAUUCUUAUUUCAUAAUUCUAUUUCAAAUUCCCUAGUAGAUCACUCUCAUUGUGGUUAAUGUGUAGUCGUAGUUGUGGUUAAUGUGUAUUCCCUUAAUAGAGUAAAGUAAAGCUAAAAAUUGAUUAUAUUAAGGCUAUUUAUAAUGUUUGUUGGUCGUGUGGUGUGUGGAAUUGGGGCAGAUAAUUUUUAAGGAAGAUGUUUCGGACCUUGAAAAUAAAGGGCAGCUUAUUGAUAUGAAGGUUGGGUAUUACAGAAACUAUCUGUUCCCCAUGGGCAAGGCCCAGAUUGUCACUCCAGUUUUGCUCAAGUAAUGUCUUACAUAACCUGUUUAAUUUAUAGAUAUCAUAUGUUUUUCAUUUAUAAUAUUUCUGGUCUCAAAAUUGUACUUGUGGAAAUAAUCCUACUGAAUUCCAACAAGGGAUUUUAAAACCUUUCUAUUAAUUCUUAAAUGUUGGUAAUCUGGAUUGAAUUGUAAGUGUGACCAAAUAGUUAUUAGUAACUUGCAGGGUCAGAGUGGUUAUUUUUUUUGUUGUUAUUAACUAAAUUUGUGUGGCUGGUUAAUUGGGUGAGUCUAAUGAACAAAUUUCUGCUGUACAUAGUCAAUGAAUGAUAAUGGCAAUGAGAGUUUGAUGAUAAGAAAGAGUGGAAGUUUCAUGGUAUCAAUCUUUGAGUGAUAAGGUUUUGUUCGAUAUUUUCCUCUCUAUUUGAUAUUCAAACGAAAGACAGGGGACUGAAGUUGGAUUACACUGACACAAGAAGCAAAUACAAACCACAGAUAAAUUAGAGGGCUGCUCUCUCCACAGUUUGAACUACUAGACAUAUAACCCUGGCCAAAACAAAGGUUUAAAAUCUAUGCAUGAAAAUGGUGUGUUGGUAGAUGAUUUCUUAUUCAAUACUUUUGUUUAUCUUUGGCUAAACCCAAAAGCAUUUAAAUCACUACUAUUUGAAAAGAAUAGGAAUACAAUGGUUUUGUUGAAAACAUUUAGACGGGAUGGCCAGGAUUGGAUAAAAGCUGCAAAGGGAUAUUUUAAUGAAGAGAGGUGAUAAAGACGAAGGUACAUGCAGCAAAGGGGACUAUCCCCAUUGUCUGACCCUCCCUAUCAGGGUCCUAUUUGUUACUGAUUUGGUUUUCGGUUUGAAAUACUUUAUUUACAUCAGUGAAAUAUUCUCUUGUUUCUUAUAGAAAAAAUUAUUUUAUGGUCUAUACUCAUAUUCUUACAUAUUAGAUUGAUACUUAUUCUCUACAUAAUUUUUAGGUGUCGAUUUCAAGAUCAAGCAUGUUACAGUUGGGGCAAGAAGUUGAAGCUUGCAAUAUGGGAUAUAGAUUGAUACGAGAAACUCAUACUCACAACUGGAAUUGGAUGAAGUACAAGUGGAGUGGGCUGAACUUUUAGCUCGGUACAUAUGAUAGACACCUAGAUAUGAUCUUAAUUUUGUAAAUGGUUAAAAUAUGAGAAUGCUCAUAAUCUUUUUUGUGUAAAUAUUGUUUUGUACAUGUUGGUUAUAUUUGGAUUGGAAUUCUGUAAUUGUUGAUGACAUUGUCGAGAAGAAUAAAAUUAUUGUUGGUUUACUGGUUUA